rnacentral:misc_RNA from 1 species
UUUCCGUAGGUGAACCUGCGGAAGGAUCAUUACUGAAUUGUCAACAAGAGUUGUUGCUGGUCUCCAGAUGGGGGCAUGUGCACGCUCUGUUAACACAUCCACUCACACCCUGUGCACCCUCUGUAGUUCUAUGGUUGGGGGGACCUGUCCUCUCCUGCUGUAGUUCUGCAUCUUUACAUACACACUGUAACAAAGUUUUAUGGAAUGCAUGCCGCGUUUAACGCAAUAAAAUACAACUUUCAGCAACGGAUCUCUUGGCUCUC